CUUUAAUUUUUGAUUUGCCGUAGUGGCAGCAUUGUAAUCAGUUUGGCGCAUGCGCAUAUUAGCAAAAAUUCAAAAAUGUGCGAAACGCGUCAUUGCUUAUAAUAUAGAAUGAAAUUUAUGAGUUAAUUAAUACUUUGUUGGUAAAUGUAAUUAUAUACCUUGGUGUAUAUGAUAUUAGUUAUGACAUAUCUGAUAUUUUUAAUGUUUCAAGCGAAUUUUUGCAAAUUUUCAUCCAAAACACGGAAUUCCCGCUGCAAUUCUAAUUACACUAUGCCGUGCCCUCAACCGCGACAACCACAUAGCUAUAACUAUCAGGCUAAUCAGACGAGUGCUUCAAUUAUAAUAACAUUCCAUGUAAAAAAUCGAUGUUUUUACUUUAUCAAAUCGCUGUGCAGUCAAAACAAAAUCUAAUAUUACUCUGUAAACAGUUUAUGCCUUAUUCGACACGAUAUCUGCGUCUGUCCGGUGCUAAUUAGUGUUCAUCGUCGUUUGCGAUUAACAUACCGAUACUAAGCAGCGAAUUUGCUCACUUGCGACAUUUUCACGCUUCUCACGUUGCGCAUAACUUACGAACUAAAUUCGUAGCGUGUUUCGCCGCAGAGAAACAACACAAACAACAUUAGCAUUUGGUCACAUUAGGAUAAUAUCGUACGUGCGAAAAUAAAUGCUGAAAAUGAACAGCUACACGCCUAGAAAACGACGUAGAACCUUUCAUUAUGCAUUGUAAUUACACAAAAACGUCGUCACGACCAGUCACGUAGCGUCAUACGUCAUAAACGCAAUGAAAACGUAAAAACUCGCGGAAAUGGGGCACGAGGACAUGGAUCCGCAGAAACAGCGCUAUCUUCGCUGGAUGUACCGUUUAAUGUUGUUAACUGCCGUGAUGCACAUUACCGUUUAUGCCUUGACGCCAGGGAUGCUUCAGAGGAAAGCCGAGUUGAGAAAACAGGCGGAAAAGCGUCACAAGUCUGAUUCAUCUGAGAAAUAGCGAUGUCACACGAUGAAUUUAUUAAGCACCGUGUCACGAUGUGUCAUUUUCGUUUAAAUUUACUUGCUUUCAUGACAUUUCAAUGGCAAAAUUAGAAAAAUGUGGAGAAACAAUGACAUGAACCCGAAAAGCCGUAGAUUAUUCAGGUUCAUGUUCGGUUUGCUUAUUCUCACGGCCAUGAUUACCAUUACAGUGGAUAUGUUGACGCCAGGAUUGUUGGGACGCAAAUUGCGGCUGGAAAAACAGCGCGAAAUCGAUAUGGAAGCUGCGAGACGUCGAAAUGAUGAUUCAACAAAAAAAUAAUCACUCACGGGGAUUUUCUGAACGUCAAAUUCAUCAAAAUUAAAUCAAUUGCGGGAUAUUUACCAUUGGGAUACGAAAUUUCAAGUUAUGCAUCCUCAAGGGAUCACCAUGGUUUACUGGGGGACAUUCGCCGCGGUCGUGUUUUACAUCGGAUCCAGUUAUUACGGAAGGUAUCGAGAUAACCAAGCCAUCAAGCCGCGAGAUGCCGGAGACGACAAGUUUCCAAAAUGAAAUAUUUCCUUGUCACAUUACUUAGAUGAAUAAAACUGCCUAUUCCGAUUAA